AUUGAACGCUGGCGGCAUGCCUUACACAUGCAAGUCGAACGGCAGCACGGGAGCAAUCCUGGUGGCGAGUGGCGAACGGGUGAGUAAUACAUCGGAACGUGCCCAGUAGUGGGGGAUAACCCGGCGAAAGCCGGACUAAUACCGCAUACGACCUACGGGUGAAAGCAGGGGAUCGCAAGACCUUGCGCUAUCGGAGCGGCCGAUGUCAGAUUAGCUUGUUGGNGGGGUAAAAGCCCACCAAGGCGACGAUCUGUAGCUGGUCUGAGAGGACGACCAGCCACACUGGGACUGAGACACGGCCCAGACUCCUACGGGAGGCAGCAGUGGGGAAUUUUGGACAAUGGGCGCAAGCCUGAUCCAGCCAUGCCGCGUGCGGGAAGAAGGCCU
rnacentral:rRNA from 1 species